rnacentral:sRNA from 1 species
GCGGCCGCCCUCCGCGGCCCCUCGUGGUGCGCGCCGUCCGCUCGCGCUCCUGGCCUGCCAGCCCCCGAGGCCCGCAGCCUCCGCGGAUCCGGGCCCGCUCGGCCCCUCCCAUGGAAGGUGCUCGGGUCUUCGGGGCACUAGGUCCCAUCGGUCCCUCCUCACCUGGGCUCACCCUCGGGGGUCUGGCCGUGAGCGAGCACCGGCUCAGCAACAAGCUGCUGGCAUGGAGCGGCGUCCUUGAGUGGCAGGAGAAGCGCAGACCCUACUCUGACUCCACUGCAAAGCUGAAGCGGACCCUGCCCUGCCAAGCCUACGUGAACCAAGGCGAGAACCUGUGAGUGCCGGGGCGCAGCGGCCAGGGUGGUGGCAGGGGCAGUGGCUGUGGCCGUGGGGAUCAGGGCAGCCCUUUCUGACUGGCUCCUUCCCAUAGGGAGACCGACCAGUGGCCGCAGAAGCUGAUCAUGCAGCUGAUCCCGCAGCAGCUGCUGGUGAGACCCGCCCCGCCCGCCCCACCUACUCUGAGCACCCCCAUGCCUGGCUGACCCAGCUGUCUGUCCCGUCGCCCCCAGACCACCCUGGGCCCCCUGUUCCGGAACU